UACGUAGGGUGCGAGCGUUAAUCGGAAUUACUGGGCGUAAAGCGUGCGCAGGCGGUUUUGUAAGCCAGAUGUGAAAUCUCCGGGCUUAACUCGGAACGGUCAAGUGAUACUGUCGUGCUAGAGUACAGAAGGGGCAACUGGAAUUCUCGGUGUAGCGGUGAAAUGCGUAGAUAUUGGGAAGAACACCAAUUGCGAAGGCAGCUCGCUGGGACGUUACGUGACGCUGAGACGCGAAAGCGUGGGGAGCAAACAGG
rnacentral:rRNA from 1 species